ensembl:lncRNA
GCCGCUGCUCCUUUACUUAUGUAGCAGGAUGGGCCUUUAAUUAGUGCUGCAGUACCGGCCUAUCACUGUUGGGUGCGCUGCCUAUAAAGGUGGGUGGUUGUGCACUGGGAGCACUCUUGCCUGGGAGCUCCUGGCUAUCCCGCCUCCUGUUGUCACCGAAACCUGAUCGCCUCACCUGAUCGCCUUUUAGCUGGAUCGUGCAGCUCGCCGUUGUUUGGCAGUUCAUUGGCCGGGUCUUCCCUCUCCCGUAUCGACCCCAGUUGUAGGGCGUGCGAGUGUUUCCUCCUCUACCUGUUGCAGCGGGGAGCGAUCAGCUGAUUGAUCGAGUUGCACUUGUAAUUGUGCUGCUCGGUACAAGUGAUCCUCUUCCUCCCCUUUGAUGUUCAUUCAACUCCUGACGGGUUGACGUGUGUGUGUGGGCGGUUUCUGCCAGCACGUCCCCCCCCUCUUCACGCUGCUGUUGGCCGGCUGCCGUUUUGUCCAUUGGUUUUAUAGCCAACACAUCCAUCCUACUCUGCAUCUCCUACUGUGCUGUACCUGCCACCGAGUAUGGUGAUUGCUGCCUCAUCCUCAGUCUCAUUAUCUUAAUCCAUUCAUUUAACCGACUUCUAACUGAUCUUAUUGUUGAUAUUAUUUGUGUUUUGUGGGUUGCUUUGCAUGUUUGUUUUGGUUUAAUUCGUUUUCAUAGUUAUUUUGGUUUGGCUUAAUUGCUUUACUUAUCCAUGAUAUUAUUUGUGUUUUGUGGGUUGCUUUGCAUGUUUGUUUUGGUUUAAUUCGUUUUCUUAGUUAUUUUGGUUUGGCUUAAUUGCUUUACUUAUUCAUUUGGAUUUAUCAGCUUGGAUAAAUCUCCUUUACUUUUGUGUGUGUGUGUUCGUUCGCUUUAGUGUGUUUGUGUGAACAUAUUUCAUUGAGAAGUCAUGUUUAAAGAUUAUAUAUAUUAAUUAAAAGGAAUUGAAUUUGUAUGCUGGACCCAGUCUCAAGCUUUCAUUAGUGAACGAACUUGUGUGCUUUAACUUAGGUUAAUCUAACUCUCCA